GCCGAGGUGGCGAAACUGGCAGACGCGCCAGCCUUAGGAGCUGGUGGGGCAACCCGUGGGAGUUCGAAUCUCCCCCUCGGCA
rnacentral:tRNA from 1 species